rnacentral:ncRNA from 1 species
GCAGAGUAGGAAUUUGUGCGUUAAGUGAUGAUAAGACGGGGAGUUGCUUAUUAUACGAAAAGAAUUUUCUUGCGAUACAUUUUCCGCAUCCCGCUGC